rnacentral:rRNA from 1 species
UGGGGAAUAUUGCACAAUGGGGGGAACCCUGAUGCAGCAACGCCGCGUGAGUGAAGAAGUAUUUCGGUAUGUAAAGCUCUAUCAGCAGGGAAGAAAAUGACGGUACCUGACUAAGAAGCUCCGGCUAAAUACGUGCCAGCAGCCGCGGUAAUACGUAUGGAGCAAGCGUUAUCCGGAUUUACUGGGUGUAAAGGGAGCGCAGGCGGUACGGCAAGUCCGAUGUGAAAGCCCGGGGCUCAACCCCGGGACUGCAUUGGAAACUGCCGCACUAGAGUGCCGGAGAGGUAAGUGGAAUUCCUAGUG